rnacentral:misc_RNA from 1 species
GAUGAAGAACGCAGCGAAAUGCGAUAAGUAAUGUGAAUUGCAGAAUUCAGUGAAUCAUCGAAUCUUUGAACGCACAUUGCGCCCGCCAGUAUUCUGGCGGGCAUGCCUGUUCGAGCGUCAUUUCAACCAUCAAGCCCCAGGCUUGUGUUGGGGACCUGCGGCUGCCGCAGGCCCUGAAAACCAGUGGCGGGCUCGCUGUCACACCGGGCGUAGUAGAUUUUAUCUCGCUCAGGGCGUGCUGCGGGUUCCGGCCGUUAAAAAGCCUUUUUUACACAAGGUUGACCUCGGAUCAGGUAGGAAGACCCGCUGAACUUAAGCAUAUCAAUAAGCGGAGGA